rnacentral:rRNA from 1 species
GACAGAGGUGCCGAGCGUUAGGCGGAAUCACUGGGCUUAAAGCGUGUGUAGGCGGACUUCUAAGUGCCUUGUGAAAUCCCACGGCUCACCCGUGGAACUGCUGGGCAUACUGGGAGUCUUGAGCCACUUAGGGGCAACUGGAACAAACGGUGGAGCGGUGAAAUGCGUAGAUAUCGUUUGGAACGCCAAUGGUGAAAACAGGUUGCUGGGAGUGUGCUGACGCUGAGA